UUCUAACUGACUUAUCUAAGUGGGGCACUGCAAUUGCUCAUCUUAUCAACAGUUUCCAUAUGCCACAAGGAGCUAAGCUAGAAAACUAAGAAUAUUACCCAUUUAGUAAAUUCUGUCAGCAUUAGUACAUAUGAUAUGAUUACAAUUUUAUCGUUUCUUUAUAAUCAAUCGCUACAGGAAACAAGUAAAAGCUCUAGGAAAUCUCUAACCUUCAGCUUCCUAUGGGGUGUCUUCCAAUGAUUUUUCACUGCUGGGGAUGACUGUGGAUUUGCGUGUUUUCCAACGUUCAAUCUUAAAAGCCUAUGAGAACAGUAAGCAGCCUACAAUCUUGACGUAAUGGGAGGACUUCACUCAGAUUGUCGGAAGCACCCUAGCUGCACAGGCUGCUAAAUAUCCGUAAUUAUAGCAAAACGAGUUGCACAAACCAACUACGCUGUGUUGGAGACAAGGAAGAUAUAAUGGCAAGGUACAGAUGGCCAAGUUCUCCAUAAAUAGCUUCAUCACUUGUACUUGUACCAGUACAUGAUAACAUAGUACCAAUUGCAAAGAUUCAGCUGCAGUCUCCUAUACAUCAUCGGAGGUAAAAUGUUGCUACUGGCUACUGACCAAAAGCUCUAUGAACUAUUAUGUUCCCACUGCGGGUAGUAAUACAGAACCGCUGUAAGGAGAAUUAUUCAUUGUGCGAGCUGCAAUAGACGUGCGAUGUUAAUACCCAGAAAAUCCAAACUGUUUUCAACUCGUACUCUUAGAACAUCUAGGGUCCUGCCCCUCCAGUGUGAGCACUACCUAGGAGUCCAUGAGAAUCCUCUGAACUUUGACACACUGGGCUGGCUCUCCAAAACUUGCUCACAAAGGUGUUUCUUUAAAAGUUUUCUGGUGUGAGCAUUGCUCGGGAUCUCUGAGGCCCUUGGAAACUUUGACAUACCAGGAGACCAUUGGGUGUACUAUGAGAAUAUUGGCAUAUUCAGAAUUGGUUGAAGACCUGGCUUCCAGGAUUAUUUUUGGGCCUAUCCAGACUCCUUAUAGUACAGUAGUUUCAUUUUGUAAUUCAUUUAUAUUUGGUUUGUAAUAAUAUUUUCUUGUAAA